AGCUUGUUGGUGAGGUAAUGGCUCACCAAGGCUAAGACGGCUAGGGGGCGUGAGAGCGCGAUCCCCCACAAUGGGACUGAGACACGGCCCAUACUCCUACGGGAGGCAGCAGUGAGGAAUAUUGCACAAUGGGGGCAACCCUGAUGCAGCAACGCCGCGUGAACGAUGAAGGCCUUCGGGUCGUAAAGUUCUUUUCUAGGGGACGAUAAUGACGGUACCUUAGGAAUAAGUCCCGGCUAACUACGUGCCAGCAGCCGCGGUAAAACGUAGGGGGCGAGCGUUAUCCGGAUUUAUUGGGCGUAAAGCGCGCGUAGGCGGCGCGGUAAGUUGGACGUGAAAGCUCCCGGCUCAACUGGGAGAGGUCGUUCAAAACUACCGUGCUUGAGGUUGGAAGAGGAGAGUAGAAUUCCCGGUGUAGUGGUGGAAUGCGUAGAUAUCGGGAGGAAUACCAGUGGCGAAAGCGACUCUCUGGUCCACACCUGACGCUGAGGUGCGAAAGCGUGGGUAGCGAACGGGAUUAGAUACCCCGGUAGUCCACGCUGUAAACGAUGGAUACUAGGUGUAGGGGGUCACUUAACCCCUCUGUGCCGGAGCAAACGCGUUAAGUAUCCCGCCUGGGGACUACGGCCGCAAGGCUAAAACUCAAAGGAAUUGACGGGGGCCCGCACAAGCAGCGGAGCGUGUGGUUUAAUUCGAUACGCGAAGAACCUUACCUGGGUUGAACUACGUGGUAGUAGAGAAGCGAAAGUGGAUCGACCCUUCGGGGAGCCUCGAUAGGUGCUGCAUGGCUGUCGUCAGCUCGUGUCGUGAGAUGUUGGGUUAAGUCCCGCAACGAGCGCAACCCUCGUCGUUAGUUAUACGUGUCUAGCGAGACUGCCGGUAUCAAACCGGAGGAAGGUGGGGAUGACGUCAAGUCAGCAUGGUCUCUAUGUCCAGGGCUACACACACGCUACAAUGGCUGGUACAACAGGUUGCCACAUCGCGAGAUGGAGCUAAUCCCUAAAGCCAGUCUCAGUUCGGAUUGCAGUCUGCAACUCGACUGCAUGAAGGUGGAGUUGCUAGUAACCGCGCGUCAGCAUGGUGCGGUGAAUGCGUUCCCGGGCCUUGUACACACCGCCCGUCACAUCAUGGAAGUCGGUAACACCUGAAGUCGGUGACCUAACCGCAAGGAAGGAGCUGCCUAAGGUGGGACCGGUAACUGGGAUGAAGUCGUAACAAGGUAGCUGUAGCGGAAGCUGCGGCUG
rnacentral:rRNA from 1 species